rnacentral:rRNA from 1 species
ACCGGCGCACGGGUGAGUAACACGUAUCCAACCUGCCCUUUACUCGGGGAUUGCCUUUCGAAAGAAAGAUUAAUACCCGAUGUAAAGGAUGGGGAUGCGUUCCAUUAGGUUGUUGGUGAGGUCACGGCUCACCAAGCCUUCGAUGGAUAGGGGUUCUGAGAGGAAGGUCCCCCACAUUGGAACUGAGACACGGUCCAAACUCCUACGGGAGGCAGCAGUGAGGAAUAUUGGUCAAUGGGCGCUAGCCUGAACCAGCCAAGUAGCGUGAAGGAUGAAGGCUUAUGGGUCGUAAACUUCUUUUAUAUAAGAAUAUGUAUUAUAUGAAUAAGGAUCGGCUAACUCCGUGCCAGCAGCCGCGGUAAUACGGAGGAUCCGAGCGUUAUCCGGAUUUAUUGGGUUUAAAGGGAGCGUAGGUGGACUGGUAAGUCAGUUGUGAGAGUUUGCGGCUCAACCGUAAAAUUGCAGUUGAUACUGUCAGUCUUGAGUACAGUAGAGGUGGGCGGAAUUCGUGGUGUAGCGGUGAAAUGCUUAGAUAUCACGAAGAACUCCGAUUG